GCUGGACCUGCCGUGUGUAUGCACAAGUGGAAGAAGGCGCCGGUUUGAAAUAAGAAAAUAAGAAGAACAAGUCCAGAUCUUUUCCCCCCGCCAAGAAAAGAAGAAAAACCAACGAGCGUGCGAUGAGAGAGCGCGCGCGCGCGUUAGCCGGCCCUCGCCCGCCGCGACUCGGUCCGUCGCGUUUUGUCAGCAGACCCCGCGCGCUAUAUCCCCCACCCAGCCACACACACACACACACACAGGUGUGUUUGCCAAUCAAAUGGCUGCUACAUCUUUCCCAGAAAAAAACAGGAAGAAGAAGAAGAAGAAGAAGAAGAAGGAAAAAAAAAGUGUUUUAUGACUUGUGUGUGUUGUGCCCUGCCCACCCAUUUGAGGAAUGGACAAAACGGACAGACAGACAGUGCCAGACAAGUGUGUGUAACGUCUGGCUGCCGCCGCGCCCUAUUGGACUCAAUAAUAAGACACGCGGGAACAUUUUGAGACCCACACACAUCAACGAGUUCCUCAUUUCACAUAGCCACAGCCCCAAAUAGGAAAAAGGCGACCCAAAGGACUACGCGACCGGAGGAGAUCAAGACCAACAGAUAAUAAAUAAGUCGAGAAGAAGAACAAGAAGAAGAAAAACGGACUGUGAUCAUGUGUCCUACGAUCCUCAAUUCCAUCCAUCAUUUCCCAUCAGGGAAAGCAAAUUUUCACAGGUACACCCAUUGUUGUGCUGAUUGAUCAAACUGGCCUCGUCGCGGGGAAUUUCCCCACCGAUGACUAUUGGCUUUUCAACCAACGGCUUCGCACGCUUCGAAUGUAUGGCGAUUUCAUUUUGUCAAAAGAAAGAAAAAAGAAAAAGAAAAUGCACGGCGAAGCGGUUGUUUGAUGUCGACCAGAUGACGGCCACAUUGGCUCAUCGGCCAGAGAAAAGAUGACGAGAAAGAUAGAUGAUGACGACGACAAGAUGCACAUCGAGUCGAAAUUCUUUUAGUAAAAAAAAUUGGAUUUGUGCCAGCAGUUUUUACGCAACGGCGACUGACGAUCGCAUAACUGGACAUAGAGACGAGCGAAAAAACGUACAACGCCAUUUUCCAUACAGCCGUCGUUGCAUCAGUGGAUGGGGGAUCAUCUAGCCUAUUUUAAUAUUAUUAGGACACACACGGCCGAUACAUUUUGCAGCUGUGUGUGGGAAAAUGAAGUAUAUGCGUAUAAGCGCGGCCCAUAUGCCAACAAUCUGCCGGAGUAGCCUUCUGCUGUGUAGCGCAGCUCUAUCCCCAUAUUGUUAUGCCGAGUUCUUUUAUAUGAAUUCUGCUAUAUACUGGUUUGGUUUGGUUUUUUUAGAAUUGUUGGAAAUUGAAGAAAUCCGCGUAUUGUUGGACCAAAUAGGAUUACAUACUUAUAUACAGUAUACUUUGUAGGUUUCGAAAUGGAAUCAUUUGGGACGCGCGUCGAUCAAUUGCGCGGGCCCCCAUAGAUCGUUAUUUCAUUACGGUGAGAGUUCGGCUAUUGUUGACUAGAAAGUAACAAGGAUACUUUUGCUGAGACUGCGCUCCCGCGCAAAUUAUAUAUAUAUGUGUACCGAGUCCUAGAUCUGUCUUUUUCUUUUCUUUUCGGAAGUGACAUCAUUCUUGGCGCGUAGCAGGAAUCCAUCCUAUUAGACUAUGACGUCAAUGUGCCACUAGUCUAUUUGAGCCACUGCGGUUUGGCUCGCUGUGUAUAGUCUGAAUUUUUAGUUUCCUUUCCUUUGCUGGUGAAUAUAUAACAAUAGCGUGCGCUUGCUAUUCUUAUAUAUUCUUCUACGGCCGCCGCUGUUUCGGCUAUAGGGAGAUAAUUAGACUAGUCCAAAAAGAAGAAGAAGAAUUUAGAAGUUUAGAGUUGUGUUGUCCCCCAUAUAGCAGCUUAUUUAUUAGCACGUGAUAUUACCCGCCGGCCUGAUUAUGUCAGGGAACGUCCUGAUUCUUAUCAUCCACAAAGAGCUUCUUCUUGAUUUUUCCGUUUUUUUUUGGCAAAUGAAAGAACACUUUUACUUGGACUCCAUUUCGAGUUCGUGAAACCAACCCCUCCCCAUUAGUUACACAGGUGUAUAAUAGACACCAAGACGACCAAGAGGCCACUGGCCAUUAUAGUCGAUCCUGUUUUUGUGCUGGCAGUCGGGUUCGUGUUUGUGAGUGCAAACGGGUUGAUUUGUUGUCAGUUACAAGGCGGAUGUAAAAUUAAAUUUAAAAAAGAAACUGUUGAAAACGAACCGGAGCGAAAGCGACCAACAUCUGAGUCCGCACUUUUGGCCGAUUGCAUUAAAUCCACGUGUGUAUCUGAUUGAGUUUUAGUGGCUGUAUAUAUAUAGCCCAAAGAGAAAAAUAAAUCUAAUACGUUGCCA
rnacentral:lncRNA from 1 species